GUUUUCCUUCGGGGUUGGGUGAAAUUCCCUACCGGCGGUGAUCGCAUGGCGGCGGCGGAAAAGCAUGCCGAGCAUUGCGUCAGUCCGUGACCCGGUUCUGUUCGGAGCAUGCCCUUACGGUCAUGCGCGGCGGAAACGGUGGACCUGGUGAAAUUCCGGGACCGACAGUAUAGUCUGGAUGGGAGAAGGAAACG
rnacentral:ncRNA from 1 species